AACCAUAGAAACCUGCGGAGUACCUGCGGAAGGAUCAUUACCGAGUGCGGGUCCGCGUGGCCCAACCUCCCACCCGUGCCUAUUGUACCCUGUUGCUUCGGCGGGCCCGCCAGCCUUCGGGCUGGCCGCCGGGGGGCGUCUCGCCCCCGGGCCCGUGCCCGCCGGAGACCCCAACAUGAACCCUGUUCUGAAAGCUUGGUGUCUGAGUGUGAUUGUUUGCAAUCAGUUAAAACUUUCAGC
rnacentral:misc_RNA from 1 species